ACCAAAGUCACCGCAAUACGCUUUGAUAGACGAUGUAAAUGUCGCUCCACGUCGCACGCCAUUUAUCUCCUAAUUUUCCUGACAUCCGAAGGACCAAAACAUACAGCUCCGCACACGAAAAACAAUGUGUGUUGUUAUAUCACUGGCUUGAAAAGCAGGCCGCGAAUAAACAGCCUCUGCCUUCGCAGGUUCUUUGUGGUGAAAAGUUCAGUGACGUAGAAGUGAGAUAAAUAGCGAAAAGACGAAUUCGACCAGAGCUAAAUAUAUAAUGGUGCGAUCAAAGUGGAACGUAAUAAAAAUUUUUUUUUUUUAAACAGCAGCAAUUAUUUAUUUCGUCGUAAAGUUAUUUUUGUUGUCGCAUAGAGUUACCAAACCGAAAUUGAAAAGAAAACGAUUUUUCUCUAAAAGAAAAAUUUUUCAUUUAUUUUAAAAGUUAUCGUACGUUAAACAGUUCCGAUGAAAAUAAGCAAAGAAUUGAGGUGAACUUUGAAUGGGUUUGUGAAUAAACUCAGCCUCGUAUAGCAGUCUUUUUCUUCUGUCGAGUAGUCAUUGAAUAGGAAACCGGAAAAGCAGGCUUAUGAUGACAAGGUUACCCACAAUGUAAUUUAGACAAGAGUACGCGUAUCGCUGCGGUUAAUUCGCAGUGAAGCGACAUCGAAAAUAGAGCUUAGUUCGGCGCUAGAAACAGUAAGAGUUGUUCCAGAUAAGCCAAUACAUGCAAAAUUCUCCAUGGGAACUGUAUCAAUCCGUUUUUUCAUAAGCUGGUAUUUGAUCAUCGUACUAAUGGUGUCAUCGUCUAUUUCGCACGAUAGACGGGAUCAGGCAAAGAAAAUCAAAGAAAUAUUGGAAUCUGUUGCUCCUGACGAAUAUCCCGUGGGAUUCAACUGGUGAUACUUAAGAAUCAGAAUAUGCGUACAAUUUUCCGUGAUCGUCGUGAUCGAUGAGCUCCGACACGAAUAAAAAAGGAAAACAGACAGUAAUGCAUGGUAAUUGAUUGUAUCCAUUGAUCAACUUGUUCGUAAUAAAAUGAUUGAAAAGGAGGAAA